GACUCAACUCAUUAAUUCUAGAUAGGAAGGGAGGGAGAGAGAAAUAGUUGCUUGACAGAAACAUUUCCUUGCAACUAAUUGGUAAGGGAAGUUGUCAGUCGUGACGCGCAUUCGGACAUAAAAGUGAAAGACUCGUUUGAAGUUUGCUUCUGAAAGUUAUUUGUAAGGAAAUAUCUUGGAAAUUCUACAAGCAAUGGAUAACGGUGAAAAAAGAUUCGAAGAAAAUGCUCAUUAUAUUAGCAUACAUUUAUUUAAAAUAUAGUGAAAAGAGAAUUAGUAUAAAGUCAUACAUUUUACAAUUUUUAAUUUCUUGUCUCCUAUCUCAUUCAGUAAAGGAUUAAUUCCGAUUAAGGAGAGACGAAUCUCUGGAUUAGACGCUCCUUUGGCGCAGGUAAAUACUCUAACUACUCUAUAUACAAAUUUUUAUAUAUGUUCCCUACUGUUUGUGAUCAUACUAAUCUAAACAUAUCUAUAAACAGGUAUUUUAUAAACUAAUGCUACUUGAAUUCUGAAAAUAGAGAUUAAUACAUUUCAUGAAGUUUGCGUUAAAAAACAAAACACAAACAAGAAGUAAUACCACUGGCAAAGCAUAACAGGAAUAAAUGUUUGAUGUCAGUACGUACUUUGCUUAAAUUACAAUCGACGCGUUAAGGAUGAUUACACCUACAUUUAAUUGCUACAAAUUAUAUGUAUUCAUUCUUCCAGUGUCUUCUCCCUCUAUUUUUUAUUUGGUUUAACACGCAUAGCUACCGUUCAUAAUUUACAUUAAGCAGAAAUAAUGUCAAAUGCAAUGGCAUGUGUAUUUUGUAUUUAUCUCUCUACGUUAAUAAAUGUAUCCCUAAGGCGAUCAGCUGGCAGAAUGCUUAACGGCAUUUCGGGCAAAAUUCUUAGCGGUAUUUUGUUUGUCUCUGCAGUUGUGGCUAAAAGUUUGGAACAUUUUUUUAGAAAUUAAAAUUAUGCCCGAUAUACGUUCCGACCAAAUAUAACUUUGAGCAUUAAAUAUAAAAAUCUAUUUUUCUGAUCUAUGUUCCUAACUUCUGGUCACGACUCUACGCUCUGAAUUCAAAUUACGUCGAGGUCGACUUUAUUCUUUAAUUUUUUGAUGUGAACUCUGGGGUCUAUAUAAUCGAUUAACACCCCCACUGCCCACCAAAUUUCAAGCUUUGUACCUUUAUUAGAAGGGGUUAUUAAAACCAUAAUGGUUUUAAGCUUGAGCGAAAUCAACCCUUGGGGAUGUUGGGAGCUCACAUUAGUGCAAAUGAAGCAGGUACUAGAAACAAAAUAUUUAAACCAGGUACAAUACUUAUAUUAAAAAUCAAAUAUGUUUGAAUUAAAUUAUGAACUGGACAUUGUGCUAUCAGUAAGCAAAACAUGUGACUGAUGAUGCGUCAAAGUCCAAUAAUUUUGUUAUAUACGUCCUCACUUUCUUUAGAAUUAUCUAUAAAAAUUUACUUAGGUGGGGGUACACAAAUAAAGAGGUGUACAUACUAGAUGGGAUAGUGUAAUUAAAAUAUGGUCAAUAAACCACCAUUCAAAAUUAGCUUCUGUCUAGUUAAAAAAUCUUUUUGUUUUUAUAAAACAUGUGGAGAGACAUUCAUAAAGACUAUUCUGUGAAAAGAGGUGCUGGUUUAGAACAGUUAACGUUCCUGAGUUCAAUGACGUUUCAAGAACUCCUUACCUGAUCUUUUGCGGGCUCGUGCACGUUUGUUAGGAAGAUAGAAUGUGUAACCAGGUAUCUAUCCACAUAUUUAAUGCUUGUUAUACAGUUGUCCACCGGUUUAUGAGUUAGAAUGGCUCUACGAGUGAUCGUGCAAAUGGAGAAAGUAUAUAUUGAGGGAGAUGUACUUUAAUAAUAUUAUUAAAAAAGAAAAUCACAAACAAAAUUUAAGCAAUUAUUUAUUGAAUGGGUACAAAAAUGUCGAUUAACGUCGAUAUGCAUAUAUGCCCCUAUGUCCAUCUUUGUGGUUACACCAGUAUAAACCAUAGAUGUUUACAUUUUGUCAUUUCAUAUUUCGAAUAUUAGUGGUUCGAUAAAGUCUGGGAGUAAAAUAAAUAUCAAACUUUAAUAUGUACUGAAUUCGAUAUGAUGGACUAAAAAUUUUCAUUUUUGAACUUGAUUAAAUAUUUGGAUCUUUAUUUUGAUAGAAAUCGUUUGUCCGAUUUUGCUUUAACAUUUUAAAUUUCAUUAUCAACCGCGAAAGUCAGUUUUAAAAUAUGUAUAAAAAAAUUUAACUGAAGGUCUACUUGAGAAAUCGCCGUCGAUCGAAGCUUUUCAACUCACUACAUUAUAAAAGGUUAAAGAUCCUUCUCGACUCAUAGGGCCGGUUUCCGUGGCGUAUAUAUUCCCCACUUGAAUGGGAUGCCAGUCCAUCGCAGGAUUAUUCAUUUUUGCCAGUUGAGUAGUUUGGAGCAACGUGAAAUGACGUGUUUUAUUCAAGAACAACGCAUCGCCCGGUCCAAGAAUCGAAACUACAAUCUUACAACCAUGAGUCAAACAUGCUAACAACUAAUUCACGCACCUCUACACUCACUGUUCAUGUAACUGCACACGCAUACAUAAUAUAGAAAUCGUAACAUCGCCUUCGAGAAUCGAACUUCGUGUCAUCUAUAAACAAUAUCUCUGUACUACUAACCACAUCAAAGCGAUCAAACAUCUUCAACCACCAAAUUAGAAGUUGAGAAUCCUCAUUCAUGUACGUAUCAUUCGUAUGUAUAUAACAUAGUUGGCGAUAAUAGCAAGUGGAGUCUUAAGAUCGAAAAUGAUUUUAUCACAAGGCCUGAAAUUUUGAAGAGGGGGUUUUGUUGAUUACAUCGACCCAUGUGCUCAACUGAACUCCGAAAGACAAAGUCGAUCUCGGUAGAAUUUGAAUACAGAACGUAAACACGGAAGAAAUGUCUGUGUGCUAAUGGUUCUGCCAGCUCGCCGCCUUCUGGGUCAGAAAAGGCUGACAUUAGUCGAUAGUGGUUUCAAAUUUUGGCACAAAUCCAAAAAUUAUGGGGGAGAGGUGUAAGUCUAUUACAUCGAUCCAAGUAAUCAACUUAGUACUUAUUUUAUCGACCCCGAAAGGAUGAAAGGCAAACUCGACCUCGGAGGAAUGAGAACUCAGAACGUAAAAGACGGACGAAAUGCCGCUAAGUAUUUCGUCUGGUAUGUUAAGAAUUCUGCCAGCUCACCGCCUUAGAAUUUGUAGAUAUUAAUUUACGAGUCAGAGGUGAUGUAAGGCCGUGUUUUAAAGACGUUUAAGGGGCAAAACUAAAGUAAAGGAUACCUAAAUUUAAUUUCUAGCUUUUAUCAGGAUUAAUUUUAAUAUAGAAGAUUAUUAAAAUGAUAUAGUUAGCUUCAAUAAACAAUGAUUUUGUUUGAUUAAGUUUGAAAUUGGCCUGUUCAUAUAUUAAUAAAUUGUAUUAUUGUGCAACUGAAAGCUGCCUUUUCUGAAGGGUUUAUUCAACAUAAAACUGCUAGUAACAAUAUAACACUUAUUCGAUAGCACACAAAUGAUUACAUUCAUAUGACCUAACUCAACAAAGCUUGGUAAUGCUCAUAUUGUCACCGGCCUACAUGCUACGCUAGUCAAUAAAGAAAGUGUUAACGGAAAUCUAUUGUUCGUGUUAUGAAAGAAUAAUUAUAUAGUUCAUUGUUUGGGUCGGUUGUUUUCUAGAAUAAUUACUAUUUUGUCACGAUCUUUUAUCUUUUACUUAUUUCGCUUAUUGGGCCGCGCCCAUGCUGGAGUAUCGCCUUGAAGGAUUUCACUCGAACAAAUCCGUCCCAGUGUUCUUUUGUAUUUUUAAAGCUUGGUACUUAUCCUAUCGGUCCUUUUGUCAUGUGGGGUUGGAUGGAGCAAACACACACACAUACAUAUAUAUAUGACUGGCUUCCUUUUAGUUUCCGUCUACAAAAUCCACUCACAAGACUUGGUCGACCUGGGAUUGUAGUAGAAGAUACUUGCCCAAGGUGCCACGCGAUGAGACUGAAUCCGGAACCAUGUGGUUGGGGAGUAAACUUCCUACCACACAGCCACGCCUGCAUCAUAAUAAUAAGGUAUUCACUCGUCCGAUCAACGUAACAUGCAGUGAAUGAUUCUAAUGGCAUUCUUCCUUUCCUGAUAAAUGUUUUCAAUUCCUAAAUUCUCCGUUUGAUUAUGGGGAUGUUGGAAUCCCGCUGACUUCUUCAGAGCAAGAGCUGUCGGGAGCUCAUCAAUUAUUGGAGGUUGUGCUUUAUCUUUGAAGCUGCUGUUUUCUUUGGGUAAUUUGUCUACAUGUGUAUGUAUAUGCAUACAUGUGUAUGUAUAUUUGUAUACAUGUGUAUAUGUAUACAUGUGUAAGUAAAUGCAUACAUAUUUAUGCAUGUAUAUGUAUACGUGUACACGACUGAGCUCGAUUUACUCGUUUUAAAAAUAAAUUUUCCUCAUUGAAAUUAACUAAAAUAUAAUUAGCUCGUUCCAGUCCGCAAAACAACCCUAAAAUAAUUUUUUAUGGGUUUUAAAACAGAAAAGGGUGUAGUUACAAGUAAAAUGACAAUUAUAAAAAAGGAAAAUGCAUACGAAAUAUGUAAACUAGGUUUAUUAAUUGAAAUACCUCAAAGAUGGGACGAUUUGUGCGUGAGGAAGACAAUAGAGCGGGGAGGAGGUAGAUUACUGUUUCAAAGGAGAUUCUCCUCGCAAUAAGACUUCAGGAAGAACAAUUUCUGGCGUUUUCUCUCUCAUUUUUGGACACACUUUCUUCAUUUUUUUACACUUGCAGGUCAUUUCAUUAGAGAUAUAUCAAGAGAAGUCUCCCUUUUCCUGCCAUUUCAAAACGUCACGAAAAUGCGUCAGAGUAGUGUCAUUAAAUAAGCUACUACACGGGCUGUAGCUGUAUUUUCAGGACGAUAUUUUUGUACAAAUUCAGAAACAUACUGCCACUUUGCCAACACUGCUUUUAUGUCAUUCGUAAAGAUAACAUUCUCCGCUUCUCUGUCCUCCUCUACACUGCCAGGCCAUAUCGAUGAUUUUCAGGCAGUUUACAAUGCUGUGGUACUCCUUUCAAAACUCACGAAAAUGAUUUGCAUUUUCGGUGACUUCAAAGGACCGACGAAACGAAUAUUUGGUGUACAAUUUCUUAAAAUUAGAAAUCACCUGUUGGUCCAUGGGCUGCAAGAAAGCUGUGGUGUUGCGUUAAAGGUAACUAAGUUUAUAAAUCUAAAUUCGUCUAGGAUAUCAUCUGCAAGGUUAGGAGGGUGAGCUGGAGCAUAGUCGAGGAUGAGGAGGGCCCUGAGAGGAAGAUUGUUCUCCAGAAUAUACUUUUUCACUGAUGGUCCGAAGGCAAAGUUGACCCACUCGGAGAAGAUUUGCCUGGUGACCCAGGCUUUAACGUUGCUCUCCAUAUGACCUGCAGCUUCUCCUUCAGGAUUUUGUGCAACUUGAACGCUCGUGGGUUUUCGGAAUGGUAGUCAGGUCUCCAAUUGCACCGGCACAAAGGGCGAGAGUUAGCCCAUCUUUCAUAGGCUGGUGACCUGGUAUUUUCCUCUCCUCUGCAGUUGAGCAGGUUCUUCUGAGCAUUGUUUUUCAAGAAAGGCCGGUUUCAGCACAGUUGAAUACCUGUUGUGCGAUGUACCCGUCGGCUGCGAUAAGCUGACGGAAUUCCUACGCGAAAUCUUUAGUUGCCUUCGUGUCACAACUCGCUGCUUCUCCAUACCUGACGACGCUAUGAGCACGAGUCCUCUUCUUGAAAUUAUCAAAUCAGCCGCGACUGGCUUUAAAUGCAUCUGCUGAUGUCUCCUCCGUUGAUGUUCCAGGGUUCGGCUUCAGGAGAUCCCCAUACAGCGCUCGUGAUAUCUCGCAGACGAUAGUCUCCGUAAUCGUAUCCCCUGCGAGUUGCUUCUCGUUGAUCCACAGGAAAAGCAAUUUUUCCAUCCUUCGUGGACAGAUGUGCGUUGCUUAGAGAGCCUGGAGACAGCCUUUUCUGCUGUAACGGUCUUGAUUUCGUCCUAUUUCUCCAGGAUGAUGCAGAUCGUCGACGUGCUUCGGUCGUAUUGACGUGCUAUGUCCACUACACGAACUCCUCUCUUAUGUUUAUCAAUGAUUUCCUUCUUCAGUUCUAUUGCAAUUAGUUUUUUCUUCUUCUCAGCACCAUCCUUUGUACUAACCUUCUUAGGACCCAUGGGUAACACAACUGAUUAUUAUAAAAUAAUAGCAAAAAAUGCACAAAACUAAACAAAAACACUGGAAAAAAAAAACAACCCAGAGAUGCUGCCACAACGCGAUAAACACGUGAACUGAGCGAGCGGAGACUGCACUUGUUGGGAGAGCUUGUGCGAGGUCAGCGCCGACUAGCAGUCGCUUGUAUGAAACUCGCUUGUACUGCAGAUUUCCGCUCGUACUUCAAGACAAAAAUUUCCACGAGCCUCGGCCCGUACAGCAAAUUACUUGUACAAUUGUGUACUCGUACUGCGAGGUUCGACUGUGUGUGCGCGCGCGCGCGUGCAUAUAUGCAAAGGUGGGCACCGUUUAUCGAAAAGUUAACUUCGUUAAUCGUUAAUCCGUUUACCAAAAAGUUAACUUCGUUAAUCAUUAAUCCAUUAAUUCUUUGAAGAUGUAACGAAAGUAACGUUAAUCCGUUAGCGUUAACUUUUAUUGAAAAAGGCAUAACUAUAGUUUAACACCCCAGAGACUUUGUUGCCUCAUAACUUCCAAACAAAGGAAUACUAUUUAACGAAACUUUCACCAAAUAAUCGCUUAUAUCCUGUAGCUUGAGUAUAUGUAAAGAUUUGUUGGAAAACGUUUUCCGAGGGUUUGGGGAGCGGAGUUUCAGAAAGUUUACAGGACCAUUUUUCCCCUCAUAAUUUUCUGGGGAAUAGGUAUUUUUAAAUGAAAUUUUAUACUAAUACUUUUCAAACGGUGUAGAUUACGAUUACAAAAAAAAUUUGUAGGCAAAAUAUUUUGAAGGGGUGAGGAAAGGGGUGAGUUGCUGGAGAACGGAGUUUCGGAUCAGACGGCCCACAUAAGUUGGAAUUCCUCUGUUUUGACGGGGAUUUUUUCAAUGUUUUUCACCAGAAUGAUGGGAGGCAAAAAAAGAAAAAAAUUUGAAAUUUUUUUAUUUUUUACUCCCGCUAUUCCCUUACCACCCGUCCGAAACGAUUUUGUUCAUUUUUUAUUUUUCACUAAGCACUUAAAACCCACGAGAAAAACAUUUUCGCUUAAAAAAAAUGUCAAUAAUUUCAGAGGAAAAUGUGCUGUUGUUUCUAGCACAUCCCAAAACAUUCGUCCUGGUUUCUUUCUCACUCACACAUCUGAUAUUUUUCAAUAUUUUUCUCCCCAUAAACAAAUUUUAUGGAAUGAUGAUGUCAAAGUAACACGUAUAGUCCCAACCGAGCGAGGCCGUGUUAUGUGUGUGUGUAAGAAAAAAAACACUUACAAUCAUGUUUAGUGUUUAUAUUAAUCUGUCAAAUAUAAUGCUUAUUUGUUCAUUAUUUUGAAUUAUUCAGGUUCAAGCGGGAUGUCCACAAUAUUUGCUUGUAACUUUGUAAAUUUUUUACAUACAGAUUUGAAAUAUUGUCAGUGGAUGCUUUAUACACCACUGGUUUAUUAUAUAAUUUUAUCUGAUCUUGUUGAGUAAAUUUGACUUUUAUGGGCAGAUAAAUUUAAUUAACAGGUGUAAAAGCAAUAACAUUAUGGAUAUACUCUAAAAUUGAAAUUCUUAAUGCAUCUUACUUCAUUGAUUUGUUACUAAAAUUAUCCCAGAUGCCAACCGACAAAGAUUUUGCCACUUUUCAAGAUGAGGUACAUUAAUUUGAAUUAAUUAUAUAUAUAUAUAUAUAUAUAUAUAUAUAUAUAUAUAUGUGUGUGUGUGUAGAUGUGUGUGUGUAGAUGUGUGUGUGUAUAUAUAUAUAGGUAUAUAUAUAUAUAUAUAUAUGUGUGUAGAUGUGUGUGUGUAUAUAUAUAUAGGUAUAUAUAUAUAUAUAUAUAUAUAUAUAUGUGUGUGUAGAUGUGUGUGUAUAUAUAUAUAUAUGUGUGUAGAUGUGUGUGUAUAUAUAUAUAUAUAUGUGUGUGUAGAUGUGUGUGUGUAUAUAUAUAUAGGUUUAUAUAUAUAUGUGUGUGUAUAUAUAUUUUGUGUGUGUGUGUGUGUGAAAAUAUGUAUAUAUGUGCGUGUGAGUUUGUAUGUGUGCGUGUAUAUAUAUAUAUAUAUGAGAGAGUGAGAGAUGUAUUUACAUGUGUAUAUUAUAAUGCUAUAUCAACAUAUAUGCACACAUUUAGAGAGAGAGAGAGAGAGAGAGGGCGUAUGACCAUAGUUCAUCAAUUGAGUUGUGAAUGAAACAAUACACGUAGCAAUUUUGAUUGGUUAUUUGCUUUCUUCCCACAUAUGCUUACUGCGCGCCGUGCAUAUGUUUUCCAAGCUGACACUAAUGUAUGAGUGAGUGAGCUUUUGUGGUAUAUCACUGAAUACAUCUUAUCACUUCAUACCGGCAGUCAUUCUGAUAACAUGUUUCUAUAUAAAUAAUUUUCUUAACAUAUGGAAAUUGUAUUUUCGGAAGAAUUAUUUGGAUAUUUGCCUAAAGUAAGUUUAUAGUUGUUCUUACACAUAUAUUUACACAAGUUUCAUUAUCCCUUCCUGUCUAGGCUUUUUAUAUACGCUUAUAUUUUCGUGCCUAUUUUCAUGCUUUUGUCUUUGUUUUUAUAUGCAGCUCUGUGCGUCGGUAUACAUUUAUACAUAGAACAGGCAGAAAGAGACUCUUACACAUGUGUAUAUAUAGACAUACACACACACGCAUACAUUCAAAAAUGUAUGUGUGAGUAAAUGUUUACGCACAUGCCCCCACUCUAUGUAUGAACACACACACACACACACAUAUAUAUAUAUAUAUAUAUAUUCUUUUACUUGCUUCAGCCGCUUGACUGUGACCAUGCUGGAGUACCACUUGUAGUCGAACAAAUCGACCCAGGACUUAUUCUUUGUAAGCCUAAUACUUAUCUUACCGGUCUCUUUUGCCGAAACACUAAGUUACGGGGACGCAAACACACUAACAUCAGUUAUCAAACAAUGAUGGACACACACACAUACAUGCAUACACACACACACAUGCAUACACACACACACACACACAUAUAUAUAUAUAUAUAUAUAUAUAUACACACACACACACAUGACGGGCUUCUUUCAGCUUCCGUCAACCAAAUCCACUCACAAGGCUUCGGUCGGCCCGAGGCAAGAGACACUUGCUAUGUGGUUGGUAAGCCAGCUACAUCAUUUUAUUGAAACUUUAAAAAAAACUUCAGUUUCACAUUUUUUCAGAAUGUCGUCACUAUUCAAAACAAUUAGUUUAAAAGUAUUUAUGUAUUCAAGAUAGCCAUCUCGUGAGUAGUGCGAACGGUUACGUGAAACUUUGUGUAUCAAUUCGUGAAGGUGUUUCUAAGCUUCAAUAAAACAUUUACUUUACCUUUUGUUUUGGAGUUCUAUUUUCUUCACCUUGUAUUGCACGUAUGUUCUCACGUGUGUGUGUGUGCAUGCGCGCGUGCGUGCGUGAAGGUCCGUGGUCGAGUGGUUAGUGUAUUGUGCUGACUAUCACAACGUGGUCAGACAGUCUGGUCGAUACAGGUGUGUGUGUGUAUACUGUUUGUUAUAGACGAAAACAAUCUUCACAAACUCUUACUCAGUUUACGUUAACGUUCGUCGGAUAGUUGUGAUCAUACUAAAAGAAAUUUGAGUAACAGUUUGCGAAGAUUUUUUUUUUCUUUAGCCUUUAAUGAAAUACCAUAUUACUCUACUUUUGGUAUUCGAGUACUAUUUUUUCCACCUUGUUUUGCAUUUAUGUGUGUAUGAGGGAAUGAGUGCGUGCGCGUGCAUGUAUCUAUCUAUCUAUCUAUUAUUAGGUAUCUAUAAAUUACCUUUGCAAUUUGAAAAAUUCAAGAAAAAUUGUAAAAUAAAGAUAAGCUUGUUUACCAACGUCAGGGUUCAGGGUUGAGUCCUACUGCGUGGCAUCUUGGGCCAGUGUCUUCUACUAUAGCCCUGGGCUGACCAAAGCUUGUGAGUGGAUUUGGUAGACGGAACCUGAAAAAAAAAAACCGUCGUGCUUGUGUCUGUAUCUGGCCUCCACCACCGCUUGACAACCGGUGCUGGUGUGUUUAUGUCCCUGUUAACUUAGCGGUUCGGCAAAAGAGACUGACAAUAAGUACCCAGGUUUUAUUAAUAAUUAAGCCUAUGAGUCGAUUUGUUCGACUAAAAAAUUUCCAAAUGUCCCAGCAUGAAACUAGUAAAAAAAAUAAAUAAAAGAUAAGCAAAUAAAAUUUUAUUAGAAAUAUUAGAAACUUUUAAUAAUUAUUUAACAUGCAAAGAAGUUGAUUGAUGGAUCUCAACUUUAAUAGGUACAAUAAAUUAUGGAAGUUGUAAAGACAAUUUAUGGACACCCUUUAUAUAUCAGCACGAGUAAGUGAUUAAGCGGAACAAAUAUAUUCAUUAUGUGGCCGUAAAUCAUUAAAACGCUUGCAACGCAAUGUAAUAAGGGACUGGAUUCGUGGGGGAAAAACAUCUUUCUUUGGUAAAUGCCUCUACACAAGCUCAGGUCGACUGUAGAUUUGUUACAAAAAAUUAAAUAGAUGGAACGUGAAGAAUUACGCCGAGUGGUCUAUACAUAGACGUAAUUUGAAAUGUCCGGCCUCGUCAUAUUGUGUCACGUAGAGUUAACUUGAAAAUUACAUAAAGUGUAAAUAUGUCUGUGGAAUUCGUUCUCGUGAGAAUUUGAACUCGGAACGUAGCGGCAGACGAAAUACCUAUUUCUUUACUACCCACAAGGGCUAAACACAGAGAGGACAAACAAGGACAGUCGCCAAUUCUUUCAGCACGUUGCCCAGUGUUUGCUCAGUGUCCAUUUCACACACAUGCACACAAUCUGCUCGUGUGUGUGUGUGCGCGCGCACGCACACACACACACACACACACAUUAUAAGCAUAAAAACGGUACUGUACGUGCGCGCGUAUAUAUAUAUAUACAUAUAUAUAUAUAUAUAUAUACACACACACACACACACACACACACAUACAUACAUUAUUAUGUGUAUGCGUGUAUAUUUGUACAAGAUAGCGCUAUCACCGACACGACUAUGGUGCUUUCACUGUUUAAAUACCUGAUUCUUUCGAAUCCUGAAAUUUUUUUAUACACACACACACACACACACACUUUAAACAAAAAUGAUCUAAGAAAAUGCAGUGUUGCUAGUUACAUAAAUUUUUACAAUAAAGGCGAAUAGUAGUUUAUAAAAUGUCAUUCAAACUUAUUUCUCGUUAGGUCUCCGAGGCGGUAACUCUAACACCGAGUGGUAACUACAACUGAAUCCAAAUGAGAAAAGGGACAACACAUAUAGACAUACAAAAAUAGAGAACAUUUCUGGCCGGUGGUAACUUGCCUAAUUAAAACAGAAAUAAGCGAGGAGAAAGAAAAACUGAGUUGGUAAGAUAUACAUACAUGCAUGCAUAUACAUGCUUUAGUGCAUUCAUUGAGAUUAUCAAGUUAGACAUUUGUUUCCCAUCGCAUCACCCGCGUUAUAGUACACGCUCAACCACUGUGAAAAAUAGGGAGAUUGUAGCAAAAUCCUUACGAAAUUUGCGGCUUAUGGAUUGAAUAAUAAGUAUGAAUAUAUACUAAUAACGAUGAGCAACCUUGCAUAAAUUGGGUUAAAUAAAGAGAAAAAUAUUAAAGGCAAAAAGGCUCGAAAGGUUUUCGUCAUUGCUUCAUGUCUUUACCACACUUGAACGAAUAUAGGUUCUUACUGUGCUUAAUCCUUGGGGAAAUUUAUUGAAUUUAUACCCGAGAACGCUCCUUUGGCAUUUUUGAGUCCUUUGCUACCAUGAAAAUCUAUAUGGAAAAAUUGUUUUCGGUAGUAAUGCCAGAAGCGAUCACAAUUAUGCCAGAACACGUUCAUUAGUCAAUUUUCUGUUGGGGCUUUGUGCAAAGAAAUGAUAUCACAAUACUUCAAACAAAAGACAUUGUUUAAUCCUGAAAUACUGAAGAGGUUCCCAUUGGCAGUUUAAUUGUGGCACAAAGGCCAUUAUCGACGGAAAAUGUGCCAAUAAUUGUUUCAAAAAGUCAUGUUUUUUGGUUAUUUUCUGUUGAUGAUUAGGGUUUCGUGCAUCACAAAUGCACUCAUAACACACCUUCUUCAUUGCUGCAUUUCUGACACCGAAAACGUUAAAAUUGGCAAUGUAGAUUAAAGCAAAUCCAAAUAUUGUCCGAAAAUGACCUCAAACUUGUGCGGCCCGAUUUCGUUUUCGAGUUUACUUUUGUAGUAAAACAGAGUUGUACAAAAACAUACUUCAUUUGAUAGCCGAAAGAUUACUGAAUCUUUUGAUACCUCAUACGUCAAAAUCGGUAACUCAGUUUUCGAAUCCAUAAGGAACAUGCGCACGCACACACACACACACACACACACACACACACACACACUAUGUUUUAUGUAUAUAGAUGUGACAUUUCUAAAAACAUGUGAAAAUGCAGGUACACUGUAGCUUUGUCAUCUACUGUGUCAUGCUGUUUCCUUAUGAGAAUAACACACACACACAAGUGUGUGUGUGUUAUACCAGGUCACUCUUGAGCGCUAAUAGUAACAUGUAACCCAGAAUAACCGUUGGCCGAGUCAUCGGUGACUAAACCGGUAACUCCACCAGUUGCUUGCCAGGAGAGGACAGUGAUUAAUUGAACACUAUGAUGAAAAACAACUUGUCAAAGGCCAUCCAAUAAUGUAUGCAUGUAUUCCGGGCAGGUAUAUAUAAACACACGAGGAAGUUCCUGGCUUUAAUGGUAUCGCGAAAGGCCUAGUUGGAGGCCCAAUCUUCCGAGUUCUUUUACAGAGCUUAGAAAACCUAAAAGACCACUGCAAUAAGUGUGUGAAUCUGAGAGGUGAACAUAAAAUCAUAAUUAACUAAUCCUCUUGUAUUUUUUUUUUACCGAAAGCCAGGGAUUUUUCAUCCCCCACCAUCGUAUAUGUAUAUGUAUGUGCGGCAGCCCUUAGCUGACAGCAGAUUUCAGUGGCGUAAAGUGGGCUUUGGUUGUCCCCUUCCUUAAAUGUAACAUAUUUUCGACUACAGCAAAUACAAGUAUAUAAAGUGUCCGUCAUUAUGUGGUCCGCUCACCCUGUAUAUCUCAUGCAUUAUCGCUGCUAGAUUUUAAGUACGUUUGAUUCCUUCCCUGUUUUCCUUAAUUUGUUUUAGUACAUCUUUGCUAUUUAUUUCCUAGUCUAUCGAUACUCCUAUUAUCUCUCUCUCUCUCUCUCUCUCUCUCUCUCUCUCUCUCUCUCUCUCUCUCUCUCUCUCUCUCUCUCUCUCUCUCUCUCUCUCUCUCUCACACACACACACACACACACACACACACACACACACACACACACACACACACACACACACACACACACACACUCGAAGAAGUGCUGGAAAGUUACUGGUUUUGGGUAAAAGAAAAUACAGGAGGUUCAACAUAUUCCCCUCUGAUUCACAUACUUAUUGCAGCAGUCCUUCAGUUUUCCCAUACCCGGUAAAAGAACUCGGAAGGGUGGGCCUCCAGCCAGGCCUUUCGUGACACCUUUAAAGCCAGGAACAUUUCGGCACCCUCUCAUAUAUAUAUAUAUAUAUAUAUAUAUAUAUAUAUAUAUAUAACCCGUUUUCCAUACAACAAUUACAUGAUGGUUAGAUUGAACAUGAACCUUACUCAGUGUUAAAGAAGUUUGGUUCGUAAAUAUGUAGAUUCAGGUUCAACCGUACUGCACGGCAUGUGUCUUCUGAGAGAGAUUUUUUUCUCUCUCUUGUCAACCAAAGCCUCGUAAGAGAAAUUUGAAAGACGGUAACUGUGAAUUGACUGUUCUUCAUUUUGGGCUGCACAUUUAAUCCAUCUUCUGAUUUUACACCACGACUUUGGAUUUGCCGUUGUUGGUGUUAUUAAGGUUCAUUCUGUUGUAAGCAUUUAGGCCUGCCCGCUGGUAUACACAUAACUGACCCUUCUGCCUUUCCGUCUCCACGUCUUCAGAAAAAGAUUGAGCGUCUCUUUUUUUUUUCUACUUAUAGAACAAUAUUGAUAACCCUUACACCAUCAACAACCUCAUUACCUAAACAGAAUAAAAUCAUUAUUUGUGGUGUAUGAUUCAGUGGGAGAAAGAUUAGGAAAAAUACUUUGAUGUAUAUCUUCACGCGUUCUAAAUUCAAAUUUUUCUUGAUUCCUUUUUUACAUUUAACUCUGCCGAUGUCGAUAAAAUAAGCUGCCUGUCAACAAUUGAAGGAUUAGUAGAAUCGUUAGAAUGCCUCACAGCAUUUUUUCCCGAUUUUUGAAGAUUUGUGAACAGUAGCAACGCUAACAGCAGACCCCAGUCUCCAGAGCACCACCGGUCACAAUUCCAGAGAUGGUGGAAGAAGUCACUUGGUGCCCAAUCCUUGAAAUCAACGACUCAGUACUUUGCCCCCCUUCCCCCUUAACAUAAACUGAAGAGCCUUAGUCUCGUCUUAUGACGAAAGGAAUAUGGAGCUGAAAAAGGUUUCCAAACUGUCGGAAGAGGAAAAAAAUUAUGAGCUUCAUCAAAUGAAUAUGAGUGAAUCCCAGCAGAAGAAAACUAAAAAGAGUGAGGAGGAGUUCCUCCUUAAGACGACGACGACGAAAGGACACAAAAUUCGCGGUCCUUCGAAAGAUGAACCCCUGAAGUGGCAGAUAUUGCCUUGAGAUGUUUAUCACAGAACUCUAAGCAGAGCCAGAAUACAGGACUUCAAAUGCCAGAGUUUUUUGUAAAAGCAAUCGCACAAUAUUGUCACAUACUGAAGUAGAAGUAUUCAGAGAAUAUGGGUUGCUUUUUGUCUCACCUCACGCAUAUGUUAACGUUACCUUUGGGUACACGAGACUCCAGCACAAACGGUAGCAAGCAUGGAGAAUACAGGAUGCUUUAAUUUGACAUAACCAGUGGAUUAUCACCCUUUGUGUUGGUUGACAACCCUAAAUGUCUUUCAGUAUGCUAUUAUUUAUUUAAUAUCCUCUUUUAUGUAUUAUUAUGUAUCCAUCUUUUAUAUGUAUUUGUUUACUUAUUUAUUUAUCAUAUGUCCUUAUUUAUACACAAAUUUUUUAAUUGUCUUCUUUGUAUAACGUCCCUGAUCCACACUGCUUAUUUGUACUAUCCAAUACGUUUUGUAAACCAUUAUUAUUAACGUUUCCUAUUCUGGGUGCAUAAAUGAAUUCAAUGAAAUUGCUCCCAGUGAGUUGGAAGAAUUGGAAGACAGUAUGAAUGAAUGAUUGCUUUACAGUAUUUCUUGCCACUGUUCACGUUCUGAAUUCAAAUCCCACCGGGGUUAAUUUUGCUAUUUAUCCUUUCAGAGUAGAUAAAAUAAAACACCAGUCAAAUACUGCGAAUGAUGUUAGCGCUAAACCCCUCCCCUCAAAUCUUUUGGACUUGUUCCUAAAUUGGAAACAAUUAGAGUAGCAGAAUCAUUAGAGCAUAGCAAAAAAUUUUGUGCCAUUUUCCCAACGCUUUGAAUUCUAAUAUCUCCAAGGUAAACUUUACCUUUCAUCCUUGCAGAGUCGAUAAAAUAAAGUACAAGUACCAAGAACGAUGUUAUCGAUUAAAAUCUCUGGUUUUGAGAUAAGUGGUUAAUCGAUAGCAAAAUCAAUUAUUAUUAGAAAUCCUUGUCAAAUUAAGAAAUCAUCAUUAUCAAAAGAUAUUGAAAUAAUUAUUGUUCGUAGUAAUAUUAUCCAGUUAAGGGACCACGUAUUCUACCAGAGUUCUUUUGUCAAGAACUCAACUAUCAGUUAAAUACAUUUUGGAAUCUUAUGACAAACGUAUGAACGUGCUAAUUGAACUUUAUGAACAUUACAAAAUAUUUUUUUUAAUGUUUAACACACUUCAACAUUGUAUUUUUUUAAAUACCAUAAUAAAAAACAUGAAAACCAGACGAUAUUUUAACUUUAUUCGACUCUCUCUCUCACACACACACACACAUAUGUAACAGUUUGACUCUACUCCAUGCAACUUAGUUUCGUAGGCUGGUAGACCAAACUUAACUCGUCAGGCAUCUAUAACAGGUUAUGAGACAUCCAAGAUCGCUUCCAGAUGUUAGGAAUGUAUUGGUUAACUCAGGUCUAGUGGUUUUAUAAGUCGGGAAACGACAUCACUAAUUUCCUAAAUGCCGGUUAAUUAAACCCUGUAAGAGCGAAAUAAGAAUAGUAAAUAAGUGUAUUCACGGUUCGCUAUUAGAAAAGCUGCGGGGCUGAUCCAAUGAGAUUGCAGCAUCGCAGUAAUCGAUUGGUUCAGAGGUAUCAAAAUAAAGCAGUCUGUAGGUUCACCCACUUCGAUAUCAUAGAUUUCUACUUUUCAGUGUCGAAAUCCUUGUCUCUGAAGGCUUUAGGCAAUUCAACCAUAUCAGCGAUAUUAGAAUUAUCAUGAAAGUCAAUAUUGGUUCACAAGGAUUCCUACUGGGUGAAGAAGGAAGGCGACCCAUUGGCGUCAGGAAACUCUUAGCUACGCUUCUUGAAACGUCUAGAUUGAAUGGCGGAUUGUACCAAAUUAUCAUUCUCUUUCUGACUCUCUUCAAGUUCGGGGGAGAAGUUGCGGUGUCCUCCAUAUAUACUAUCUUCGCACUGAAUUCACUACUCGCUAAUGCUUCCCUAUAACGCGGGGCAGCCCUAUUGAGGAUCUCUCUAUCCACUGAUAGUUAAGAGAUUCUUCUACUUAUGUCUAGGUUUCUACUUAUGACUAUGGGGAGCUAUGACGGGUACUUGGUCUGAGAUCGCUGACUUUGUCGGGUAUUCUCUCCGGGAUACUCUAAAGAAACGCACACACCUCCAUAACUCAGCCCUUUAUAGGGACGGCAGUUUCGCAAUCUCAAGCCACAUGAACGGCUAUACCAAGGACAAGUUCAGGAAGGAUUUAACAAAGAUCAUCAAAGAAUUUGGUCCAUCUAAAACAACCACCACCAACUUGACAUGGGUAGACUUCUUGGAUGUAACCCGCGACCUGAAAACGGACAAGUACUACUCUUACAGGAAGCCUUACGAGGAAACUCCAACCAUCCACCAGCUAUAGUUAGAAUCUUAGUCAUAAAUAGAAACCUAGGCAUAAGUAGAAGAAUCUCUUAACUAUCAGUGGAUAGAGAGAUCCUCAAUAGGGCUGCCCUGCAUUAUAGGGAAGCAUUAGCGAGUAGUGAAUUCAGUGAGAAGAUAGUAUAUAUGGAGGACACAACUUCACUCUCGAACCUGAAGAGAGUCAGAAAGAGAAAGAUAAUUUGGUACAAUCCGCCAUUCAAUCUAGACGUUUUAAGCAGCGUAGCUAGGAGUUUCCUGACGCCAAUGAAAAGCAUUUUCCUUGAACCUGUAAGUACACAAGAGCACGGUAGUUAAUCCCUUCCGCCUGUAUAAACUAUUGCUACCAUAUUGUACCACCAUAUCUAAUCUAACAUCAUCAAAUCUGGUUACUCUUUCAGAGAGAUAGUUGCCGCUUAGGUGUUAGUUUUUCACUAACCUGCGACAACUAUCGCUUUGCCAUGUGUAGUAUCAAAUGCAAUGAACUGAUGUCACUAAAGAAAUUAUACUGCCAUCUCCAGACUUAGCGGUGACGGGUACCUACCAACAUCCUGUCCGACUACGCGAAUAUAAAAACUUAAGAAAAAAAAUUGAUGUCACAUCCAGACGGACCAAUAAAACUUCGAGAACUGAGUUGACCAAUAGAGGCCCACCUUGAAUUUGUCUCGUAUCUGCUUUGUUGUCUGACAGUUUAGGUUCGUUCUACGAAACUAAACUGCGUGGAACUGGAUCAAACUAUUACUAAAUAGAUAUAUAUAACUCCAAAUACGUUGAAUGUCACUUCCUUUCGUCUGUGUGUGUAUGAUACAUACACACAAUAGUUGUACUAUUGUUUGGUCAAGUUAGCUUUGACUGAGCAAUCCUGUGAUCAAAAAAUUCCAUCUUUAAUCAACUCGUCUUUCCUAGGAGGGAAAGAUGUAAUGUGAGGCUACCAUUUGGCUAGUUGAGAUUAUGUUUUAAGUAUUUAGUUUGUAUGUAAUGCAAAAAUAUUUUAAUACUAAUUCAGUAAACUGUAGUGCACAUUGUGUAAUAGCCAACAAUUGAGUAACUUGAUAUACGUCUAUCGAAUAGCAAUGUUGUAUUCGUUUAAGCCAGUGUUUGUCAAACUGUGCCGCGGAAAGUAAUUUCGGGAUUUUCGAGAAACAACGAUCCAAGAACAUUUGCAUAGUUCGAGCGUAAAUAUAAAUUUAUAUAAAUCGUAAAAUAUGGUAAAUAUAAAUGACGUUACACGACGGACAGAACAUUUGCUAUAAUAUGUUACACUUCUCUUUGCGUUCUGAGUUCAAAUUCCGCCGAGGUCGACUUUGCCUUUCAUCUUUUCGGGAUCGAUAAAUUAAGUAUCAGUUACGUACUGGAGUCGAUCUAAUCUAUUGGCCCCUCCCAAAAAAUUUCGGCCCUUGUGCCUAGAGUAGAAAAAAUAUUACAUUUUUGCAUGUAAACCGGGAUUGUAAGUAAGUUGUAUAUUAGUCCAAGAAGAUUUAAUUUUUGAUUUAUUUAUAAUUUACAUGAAUUAUUUUACGUUAACUUCAAUCGAUUUUUAAUUUUAGAUUUAAACAUGGACGAAUUUUUAUUGACACCCCAGAAAAAUGAGAAAGAGAGUCAUAAAAAACGAGACGAACACCAGAAUAGAAAGUCCACCUCAUCAAAACGAAAAUGUAAUGAAAAUUACAUCCAAUAUGGUUUUAUAUUAUCGGAUAAAAGACAACUCGGUUCCCUUUUGUAUAAUUUAACAACACUCUCAAAUGAAGCGAUGGAUCCAAGUAAACUUCAGUGUCAUUUAAUAACAAAUUAUCCCAGCAGAAGGACAAACCUUCAAACAAAUUAAGACCAUUCCUUUGCCUGCACACAUGAUUUCUCGUAAAAUUCAAGACAUUUCGUGAGACAAUGAUGAUCAGCUUCGCCAAGAUUUCACUGAAGCAAAAAAUGAACUCGAAAACUUGUGGGCCUUACAACAUCAGUAACGAAGCUCAACUAAUUUCAUUUCUGUGAAUCAUCAGAGGUGGUAAAAUCAUAAAUCAGUUUUUCUUUCGUUGUGAAUUGAAGGAAAGAACGACAGGAAAAUAUGACUUUAACCUGGUAAACCAAAAUGUAUUGAGAGGGAUGCAGUGGAAAACUUGUAUUAGCGUUCGCCCUGAUGGCGCUCCAUCCAUGCACGAUCGAAAAAAUAGGCGUCGUGGCUCAUGUAUUAUAAAACAAACCUUCACAAGUUAAAAUUGUACAUUGCAUGAUUCACCCCGAACUUUUGGUGUCAAAAUCUCUACCAGCUGGUCUCCUGAAGACGAUGGACAACGUUGUGGUGAAUUACAUAAAAUCGCAUUCCCUACAGUGCAGACAAUUUGCAUCUCUAUGUGAGAGUAUAUUUUAUUACUUUGCGAACUGAAAUUUGUUUCUUCGAUGCUGAAAAUUCUGGAUUUGAAUUUCUUAACGAUGAUAAUUGUUGAAUUAAAGUGAAGUAAACAAUUUUGUGCUUGAGGGUGUGAAGCAUGUGGUUGUGUAAAAAGAGGUAGUUUGGAAAGAGUCUGUGUGUGUGUGUGUGUGUGUGUGUGUGUGUGUGCUUUGAGUGGAACUGAAUGCAAAAUAGGUAACAAAUUCCAAGAUGCUAAAAUUAAGAGGAUUCGUUAAAGUUAGUAAAAUCCCUUUUUAACCCAGAAAGCUAUGUUACAAUUUGUGAGACGUGGAAGCUCGUGAAUCAUGUGAUGUUUUCUUGCUGGCUAUCUUCUAUGUUUUGAAAUGGAGCUGAUGCUUCCCAGUUACGGUUCGUGGGGAAGCUUCUUCCUGGUGCGGUACGCAAGGUUCAAUGCAUGUACAGCCGGAUAUUUGAGAUAUACGAAGAACAGUUAGUUGUACCUGUGAAAUAAAUAUCAAGACAAAAGUUAAACAGAUCCCUAUUUCUUGCAUUAUAAAUAUUUAUUUCGGAACAACAUUCGAUUUGAAAAACAGAGGUAGACAGCAGUCAGACAGAGUUGGACAAAUGACUUGCGAUUAUUAAUUACGUCCCGAAUUCAAAUCCUGAUGUAGCGUCGUUACCUUUUAUCUCUCUGGAGCCGACAAAAUCAAUGCUUGGUUGAUUUAAUCAAUUGUUUUUUUAUUUUCCAAUAAAUUUCAUUCUUUGAACAAAUGUUAGAAAUCAAUAUUUACUUAAAAUAGUAUAUUAUUAUCUUGUGAACAUCAAAGAAAAUAACGUUAAGAAUUUAUACACGAGUGUCUAUUUCAACAGCAAUAGUGGCCAUGUGUUGCUUUUCAAACUAGAAUAUUAUUACUAUUUAAGUUCUAUUUUCAUUAAUUGUCUUAAAAACUCUUCUAAAAGAUAUUUAUUUCGCUGUAAAAAUUUAUUUAUUCUAACACUUUGCUUUUAUAAUUAAGAAACAUUAAAGAGAUUUACAUUGAAUUAUUUUAUCUAUAUUUAGAAGUGGACAGGACUGGAAACAAUACUAUGCUGUUGAUCGAACAUUAAAUGAAUAGCACUACUAUUCAGCUACGUUUUAGUUUCACAUUAGAUUUGCGAUAAUUUUAACCGCAGCGCAAAAUAUAGUCGCAUUUAUUUCGAGUAACGCUAUCUUACAUUCUUAGUUAUAUAAAUAUAUAUGUAAAAUUUUUACCUUGCUUGUUUAUUGAAAUGUGUGAAGAUAUCAGAUUUGUAUAGUAGUAAAUUGUAGUAAAUGAAUGGCCGGUAAGAAAAUCCACUAGAAAAUUUCUAUCCCGUGAAUCCCUUUUUAAUAUAAGAAAAAUCAAUAUACGCUUUCUAUCAGAGGCUGAAUGCGCUGUUUUCAGGGUAGGAAAUUGAAUCUAAUGAAACGGAACAGAAAAGAAUGAGACAAAGAUUUUCACAAUAAACGUCUUUAUAUC
rnacentral:lncRNA from 1 species